GAAACCAGCGGGAGCUUCGGCAGGGCCUGCAGAGAGGACAAGCGAAGUUAGAGCCUAGUGUACUUGCCGCUGGGAGCUGGGCUAGGCCCCCAACCUUUGCCCUGAAGAUGCUGGCAGAGCAGGAUGUUGUAACGGGAAAUGCCAGAAAUACUGCAAGCAAAACUGAAAACAACCCAUCCAUGUAGGAAAGAAUAACACGGACUACACGUUAUUCAAGGACACCGAAAAGCCAACACCAUGGUAGCAUUAAUGAAAGUUUACCAAGAGGAAGAUGAAGCCUACCAGGAAUUAGUUACCGUGGCAACCACGUUCUUCCAGUACUUACUGCAGCCAUUUAGGGCUAUGCGAGAAGUUGCAACUUUAUAAGUCCUUGGAUGAGGAUGACCUAGGUCCUAGAAGGGUAGUUGCCCUGGAGAAAGAAGCUGAAGAAUGGACCAGACGGGCUGGAGAAGCUGUCGUCUCUAUUCAAGAUAUCACAGUGAAUUAUUUUAAGGAGACAGUAAAAGCAUUAGCAGGAAUGCAGAAAGAAAUGGAACAGGAUGUGAAGAGAUUUGGCCAGGCUGCCUGGGCCACAGCAAUUCCCAGGUUGGAAAAACUUAAGCUAAUGCUAGCUCAAGAGACUCUGCAACUCAUGAGAGCGAAAGAGUUAUGUUUAAAUCACAAAAGAGCUGAAAUUCAGGGAAAGGUAAGACAAAGAUAAACAUAACUUUGUUUUAAAAAUACACUUGUAUUUAUUUUUUAUUUUAUUUUAUUUUUUUUGAGACAGAGUCUCGCUCUUUUGCCUAGGCCGGACUGCAGUGGCACGAUCUCGGCUCAUUGCAAGCUCCGCCUCCUGGGUUCAUGCCAUUCUCCUGCCUCAGCCUCCCAAGUAGCUGGGGCUACAGGUGCCCGCCACCGCGCCCAGCUAAUUUUUUGUAUUUUUAGUAGAGACGGGGUUUCACCGUGUUAGCCAGGAUGGUCUCGAUCUCCUGACCUCGUGAUCCGCCCACCUUGGCCUCCGAAAGUGCUGGGAUUACAGGCGUGAGCCACCGUGCCCCGCGCCACUUUUAUUUUUUAAAAAUUUUGUAUAAAUAAAGGAUACAAGUGCAGUUUUGUUCCAUGGAUAUAUUGUGUAGUGGUGAAGUUUGGGCUUUUAGCGUAAUCAUCACCUACAUAAUGUAAUUGUACCCAUUAAAUAUUUCUCAUCCCCCCUCCCACCCUCUUACUCUUCUGAGUCUCCAGUGUCUGUUAUUCCACACUGUCUGUGUAUACACUACUUAGCUCCCACUUAUAAGUGAGACCAUGUGGUAAAGCACACUUGUAUUUUUAGAUAGCACUUUUCUUUCCAGGCAUUGUUAAAGAGCUGCUUUUCUUCACUUAUUCCAACACCAUCUCCUAUGGAAGGUUAGACAUAAAGUUUUCCUUUGGUUAAGAUGUUUCAAAAUACCACACUGUAGGAUUCACUUUAUAGUAACACCAAGCCCAGUAUUGAAGUGGGUACUGUACUUGAAAAUCAAUCCAGCAAUGUUUUCAGUACAGCUUUAAAAUAAUCAAAGAGAUACUUCCCUGAAGGAUCUUAGACACUUAAGUUUUUUCCUAUAAUCUUAUGACUUUAAAGCAGAAAACACUGUAAACACCUGUCUUAGUUGGCUAAGGCUGCUGUAACAAUAUUAAAUGUCACAGAUUGGGUGGCUUCAACAAUGGACAUGUAUUUCUCACAGUUCUGGAGGCUGGGAAGUCCAAGAUCAAGGUGCCUGCAGAUUCACUGUCUGGUGCGGAUCCUCUUCCUGUCUAGUAGACAGCUGCCUUCUUAACUGAGUGCUCACAUAGCCUUUCUUCUGUGUGUAUGUUUGGAGAGAAAGAAAGUGAUCCCUGUCUUUCUCUUCUAAUAAGGGCACUAAUCCCAUGAUGGGGGUGCUAUCCUUUUGACAUAAUCUGAACCUAAUUACUUCCAAAGGACCCACCUCCAAAUAACAUCACAUUGGGAGUUACAGUGUCAACAUAUGAAUUUUGGGGGGACACCGAUAUGCAAUACAUAAUAAUACCUCAUUGCCAUUUAUGUUUCUCAAAACCUAAAUGUUUUUCUCUGUUUCAAGGAUGGGAUAAAGUAUUAGCAUCACUAGAUGAAAUGAAAAAGUGUUUCUUUCCUAUUUGCUCUUUUAUAUUUAGUACGGAACAAGGAAUAGAAAAUAGCUAGAAUGCUUCUAAAGUUUGUUUUUAAUAUACUAUUUGUUUUAACUUAUUUUUCUUUUUUCUAUGAAAAUAAGAUGGAAGAUCUUCCAGAACAAGAAAAAAAUAUAAAUGUUGUAGAUGAAUUAGCAAUACAAUUUUAUGAAAUUCAGUUAGAACUAUAUGAAGUUAAAUUUGAGAUAUUAAAAAACAAAGAAAUACUGCUUACUACACAGUUGGACUCUCUUGAAAGACUUAUAAAAGGUAAAGUUUUUAUUUAAGUAUAUAGAUUACAAUGUUUAUAAAUUUAAGGAAAUACAGACCAUAUUAUCAAUUACUUUUUGUAAACUGUAACAUCUGAAAAUUUCCUAAAGUUUUCCUUCAGUGGUUUAUUAUUCAAAUAAUAUAUUCAUUGUUAGCACAUAGCAAAACAAAGAAAGAAAAAUGAUUAUUACCCCAAUCCCAUCAUCUAGAGAUGCUCAAUGGUUGGCUGGGCACAGUGGCUCAGGCCUAUAAUCCCAGCACUUUGGGAGGCUGAGGCGGGCAGAUCACUUGAGGUCAGGAGUUCCAGACCAGUCUGACCAACAUGGUGAAACCCCGUCUCUACUAAAAAUACAAAAAUACUAAACCCUGUUUCUACUAAAAAUACAAAGUCCAAUGUGGUGGCACGUGCCUGUAAUCCCAGCUACUUGGGAGGCUGAGGCAGGAGAAUGGCUUGAACCCAUGAGGUGGAAGUUUCAGUGAGCCAAGAUCGUGCCACUGCACUCCAGCCUAGAAGACAGAGCGAGACUCCAUC
ensembl:lncRNA novel transcript